rnacentral:tRNA from 2 species
UUGAGUGUGGUGAAAAGGUAAACACAUUUGACUUAGGAUCAAAAUUUUGCGGGUUCAAGUCCCGUCACUCUUA